GCAAAAUUAUAAAAUUUCAAACUCAAAUCUAAGAAAGAAAAAAUUAACAGAAUUACCGAAGUAUUUUUUUUUUCAUAUAAAAAAAUAUUUUAGCUUGGAGCAACCCUCAAACAAUACACUUCAAAAUGACAUGAAAAAUUGACUGGGUCGUUCCUGAUCCCCAGGCAGGUCCCUAAAAUGGCAUCAAGAUCAUAAACACAUUUUAGAUUAAGAAAAACAGUAUGAAAGGACUAUGAUGUGCUCGUGACAGUGCUACCAUUGGGUAAAUAAUGCGUUUACCAAGAAGCUAUCAAUUAUCACCUCUUCUGUGCUAAGGAACUGAAAAUAAGCGGGACUUCCCCCCCUUCUUUAUAUAUUUUCCCCCUCUUUUAGUCAAUUUCUCUGGACAAAUUAGAAGUCAUUUUCUUUUUUCUCCUUUCUCAGGAUAAAUUACAAGUUCCUUGAGAAAACACACUUGGCUUCUAGCUACAUAUUUGCCAUCAGAGGCAUCAAAUCCAGCACAUUAGUGAUAAUGAAAAGUUCCCUUCUUUUUGCUCUCCUCUCUUCUCUUUCCCAUCAAUGUCAUGAAACCAGAGUCAAAUUACACAAAUUCUCAGUCAGCUUGCCCAGGGCUCCUGUUAGCAUCACCAUCAUCAAGCUGGACCCAUAAGCUUCGGCUUCUUUCCCCUCCACUUUCCCACGGUUGUUGCCUCACACUCCUAUCAUUUGUAUCAUCCCCAUCUGAAAACUGUGCCCAUACACUUCGGCUCUUCCCCCCCGCACUGAAAUCCUCCUCACAUCCUGCCACUGUCUUUAGGAGUUCUGACUGCAGUAAUGGACAGUUCUCUUUGAGAUACUCAAAACCGUCUGAGCGCAUGACAGCUGAAUGAAACAAGGCCAUCAGAAAACAAGGUAAUUGUGAGUUACUACACCAAGAACAGAAAACAAAAGAGGGGGAGGGUGGUUCAGAAAAAAAUCAAAACCCUAAGCCUGAUUCUCCAUUCCUGGGUAUCAGCCAACUAUGGAACCUCCUUUGGUGUAAGAAAGUUUAGAAACAGAAUGUUCAGGAGUAAAAUACAGACAACAUCAACCCCAUUUAUGGUAAAGGACAGAUACACUGCAGAUGAACGACCAAAUGGCAAUUGUCUUAGCUGGCAACUAUACUAUUCCCAUUCCUAUCACAGUAAAUGCAACAAACUUCGAUGAUGAAAUUACAGGCAUUAAUUCUGGUUGACAAGUCACAGCACAGUAGGAGACAUGCAUAGUUUAGAUUAAAAAGAUGUUCAACCUGGUAUAGCUAGAAGGAUUUUUGAAAUUAUCAUUACAAAUUUGCUUUGGCAGAACAAAUGCAUUUCAAAUUGUAAUACAAUCCUCAGUAAAGGAGGGAUUAAAUGUUUUCACCGCACCUAGACUGCCACAUGAAGCAAUCAAGCAUCAAAUAAAACAACACCCACUACACAUAUUAGUUAGACAUAUGGAAUAGCACCUAUAUAUCAUUGCAUAUUCUUAACUUUUUCAUAUUCCAAAGAACCAUAGGCACGUGAACAGAAACCAGACUGUCAACUCAGUCACUUCGAUCCACAGUUUUUCUUGUUCAAGGCUCUCUACAGAGACUAUACACUACGAAACAGUCAAAGCUAGGGCUGGGCACUGAUUGGAUAUCCGAACUGUUGGCCUUUUAUUUGAUCUGAUCCGAAUACAUCAGAUCAAUAUUUUAAUAAUCUGAAUUCCAUCUAAAAAUAUCGGUUAAUUGGAUAUCUGGCUUUUAUGGUUUGGUUAUCCUAAUACUUUCACAUUAUACUUAUAUAACUAUAAUUUAAUUUUAAUAAAACAAAUAUCAUGAUAUGAACUUGCUUAAUUCCACCUUAGAAGCCAGCUUGCAGGGGGAGGGUUGCCAAUCCAUAUAUAUAACACUCAAGACUUACUUUCUAACUUAUUUGGAACGCAUCAUUCUUGACCCCUUUACACUGUACGUCCUCGUACAGAAAGCUAAGAUCAUGGCUCACCAACCAGACAAGGUAAGGCUUUGAUACUA
rnacentral:misc_RNA from 1 species